GCGGCCUCCGGGCAGUGCGCCCGCCUCUGCGCCCCGGCCCUGGGGAGAGCUGGCCCCGGACAGCAGCCCCGAGUCGAGCCCUGCAGAAACGCCGGCCUCGGUGCCGGGAGCGGGGCCAGGCUCCAGGAGGAGCCUCCUUCCCCCUCUCGCUGCAGAUGUCCCUGCUCCAGACGUCUGGGCUGUGAAUCAUGAAUAUCCCGCAGCCCAUCAGUGCAGAACUUGGCUAUAAUGCUAAUAUGCAUAUGCAUAUGUGUGUAUGUCAUUCCAUAGCAUAUGUUCAGGCACUGUCUUGGCAGAGACUGAAUGCCAGCCACUGGUUUGAGAGGAAGAAGAUGUAUAUCCUCAAUUCAUCACUAAAACAGAGGCUCUUCUGCUAAUUGAGAGCAACAGAAGAUGAAGAAAUGUUCCUCCUAGAUGAGGGUUGCUGUUCCUGCUGUUGAUCUGCAGACACUCCUGCUGUAUUAGGUGCCAGAUGGAAGCUCAGGAUUGAGGUGCUAAGGCUGCAUAUACCAAGGCCUCCUGCCUGCAACUCCCUCCCCACAUUACAUCUGAAUUCCCAAAUCAGAUGGACUUCUCCCUGACAAGGCACACAGCAGUGGUCUCCUAAAUUCCUUCCCAGGCUUUUCUCCUCAUAUCCUUACCUACCAAAAGAAGCUAAAACCCAAAGAUCCCUGCAUUCAUUCACCCAAUAGUGAGGACCCAAGCCCUUUCCUGGGAGCAAAAUCAUUGUUUCCUUUGAAGACAGCAAUACCCCUCAUGGCUUAGAAAGUUCUUGUCUCUAGCAUCAGGUCAGGCACAGGUUUUCCAAAAUCAGAAACCUCUAAUUGUCCAGACACAUUACUUCAGACUUGCCUUUGAAUUACAGUAGGAUACUGUGGACAGCUUAAUAUAUUUUAACACUGAAAGCGACCACUGUGAUCAUCUAGUCAUCUAGCAUAACACAGCCUGUAGAAUCUCAACCAAUAACUCUUGAAUUGAGCCAUAGCAUAUCUUUCAGAAAGACAUCCAACCUAGAUGUAAAGAUUCACAUGAAGAGGAAUCUACCAGUCCCAGGGUAAAUUGUUCAGAUGGUUAAUUACAGUCACUUAAAAAUGUGCACCUUGUUACUAGUUUGGAUUCACCUCCCAUAAGUUUCCAUCCAUUCCAUCCUGUUCUGCCAUUGGUCUCUUUCUUCUAUCAGAAAUCUUACCCUCUGAGUACUUAUAGACUUUCAGCUCUGGAUCAAUGGAACAACCUGGAGCAGUCCCAUCCUAACAGAUUAUUUUGUGAACACUGGACACAAUCCUGUGCCCAUUGAAG